rnacentral:rRNA from 1 species
UGGCGAACGGGUGAGUAACAUAUCGGAACGUGCCCAGUAAUGGGGGAUAGCCCGGCGAAAGCCGGAUUAAUACCGCAUACGACCUACGGGUGAAAGCGGGGGACCUGCAAGGGCCUCGCGUUAUUGGAGCGGCCGAUAUCAGAUUAGCUAGUUGGUGGGGUAAAGGCCUACCAAGGCGACGAUCUGUAGCCGGUCUGAGAGGACGACCGGCCACACUGGGACUGAGACACGGCCCAG